UACGGGGGGGGCAAGCGUUGUUCGGAAUUACUGGGCGUAAAGGGCCAGUAGGCGGCCAACUAAGUCGGAUGUGAAAUCCCCAGGCUCAACUUGGGAACUGCAUCCGAUACUGGAUGGCUUGAAUUCGGGAGAGGGAUGCAGAAUUCCAGGUGUAGCGGUGAAAUGCGUAGAUAUCGGGAGGAACACCUGUGGCGAAGGCGGCCGCCUGGUUGGAUACUGACGCUGAGACGCGAAAGCGUGGGGAGCAAACAGG
rnacentral:rRNA from 1 species